UACGGAGGGUGCGAGCGUUGUCCGGAAUCACUGGGCGUAAAGGGCGCGUAGGUGGCCUGUGGAAGUCUGCGGUGAAAGCCCGGCGCUCAACGCCGGGUCGGCCGUGGAUACUCUCGGGCUUGAGCUUACUAGAGGCAGAUGGAAUUCCGGGUGUAGCGGUGGAAUGCGUAGAGAUGUGGAGGAACACCGAUGGCGAAGGCAGCCUCCUGGGCCAGCACUGACGCUCAUGCACGAAAGCGUGGGGAGCAAACAGG
rnacentral:rRNA from 1 species